AAUUGCGCUCUUUUCACAUGCAAACAUCAACUGAUAAAGAAUAUCAUCAGCCCAAAACAUUUCCAACAUUUCACCUCCCCCCUCCCUUACAAAGCAAUAGUCUUGGAAGGAAUAGCGGAAGUAGUCGUACAAAAACGUGAUUUAACUUUUCUUCAUUAAUCUUGUGUUUUUGUCAUCGUUUAUGUGGUUGUUUGGUUGUAUGAGCUAUGAAAAAUUAUAUGUGUGUGUGAAAUUUAUGAAAUGAAAGAGAAAAGAAAUCGUCAGAAUGUGCUCGCGAGCGAUGCAAUUUUCAAACGUCGCAUGCUUCAUGAUUCCGUAAACACAUCGUCAUUAAUGUCUGUAAAACGUACAGUGAUAAUUCACUUAAGAAAGACUGGCCAAAAAAAAUUCCAGUGCCACAUCUUCCUCUAUGCACAUGUUUCUCUUGUUGGAAACUCUUUAAGACGAAAUUUCUUUCCUUAAGAAUUUUAAAAUGAAACAAAUGAACUAAAGACUGCUGAAUCUUAUGGCAGACAUUGAGUAUUCUUAAGAUGAAUUUUAAAAUGAAACAAAUGAACUAAAGACUGCUGAAUCUUAUGGCAAAGACAGUGAAUAUUCUGAAGAUGUCAUCGUAUUCAUUGAAGAAGACGCCUUACGAAAAUUUCGAUAAAAUUGUGCAAAGCAUUUUCAUCAAAAGUGAAUCAUGAGCGCCGACGACGACGUUGAUAACGUUGAUCAACAAGAAGUAGACAGUGUUUUAUGUACUGAACAAGUUGCAAGCGAUUGUUGAAAUUCAUAUUCCAUUGGAAUCCUACAGUGGCAGUACGGCCCUACGAACGAACGAUUUGUCUCUGAAUCGAGACAGUAAAUAUCAAUAUGCUGUCCUGUUGAAGUGCUAGAAAUCCUACGGAGAGGAAUCCAAUCAAGUCGAUGAUUCCAAUUCACUCCAGGAAACAAAUCAAGAUGAACUAAAUGGACUUGAAUUAAUAGACCUUGAAGUCAGCAACCUCUUUGAGGACAGCAGGCAGAAUAUGGGCUGUCAUCUUGAGUUUAUGUCGGUUCCUCCAGAACUUUGAUGACUGUAAUUUGUUAUGGCAUGUCGAAAUACAAUUUAUCUUUAUACAACCAUUGAAAUUGUUACAAUGAUCAUAAAUAUUACAUCCAUAUGCAAUUCUUUAGCAAACUCAAUAAUUGGGGGAGAACGUAUUCAUACAUUCAUGUUCUGCAGAAUUAAAUUCUUUUUGAAAUCCAUUGUUUUCUAUAGAUUAAGACGUACAUUCAUAAAUUUGAACCCUUCCCCCUUCCUCAUCAACGAGUUUGCUACGCCCCUGUUAUGAAAUAGACAGAGUAAAUUAGAACAUAAAUAGAAAGUUUUUAUCAUUAGUCCUUAGUAAAAUGUAGACUUAAUCUAGUAAGUUAAUUAAGGUUCAAAUAUUGUCACGUCCAAUGUAAUGCCAAUGUCAUUAAUAGGAAAGUACAUACAGGUUAGAGAUAUUAUGGGGAAAAAGAACUUGAUAUUUUUUGUAUCCAAUAAUUUCUAUUCAAAUAAGGAGAGGCACCCUAUCUGUUGUAACCAAAUAAGUUUUUUGUUGUCAAUAAGUUAUUGGAAUUGUCGAGGUUAGCCGAGAAGUUCAUUAAAUAUUCAAAAAGUAA